UACGUAGGGUGCAAGCGUUGUCCGGAAUUAUUGGGCGUAAAGAGCUCGUAGGCGGCUUGUCGCGUCGGCUGUGAAAACCUGGGGCUCAACCCCGGGCCUGCAGACGAUACGGGCAAGCUAGAAUUCGGUAGGGGAGACUGGAAUUCCUGGUGUAGCGGUGAAUGCGCAGAUAUCAGGAGGAACACCGAUGGCGAAGGCAGGUCUCUGGGCCACUACUGACGCUGAGAAGCGAAAGCAUGGGGGAGCGAACAGG
rnacentral:rRNA from 1 species